GGGGCCGUGGCGAAACUGGCAGACGCGGGGGACUUAAAAUCCCCGGCCGCGGAAGCGGCGUCCCGGUUCGAGUCCGGGCGGCCCUACC
rnacentral:tRNA from 1 species